GGAGGGUUCGCAUAGAGGCCUAGUGCGCCCGCCUGCUAAGCGGGUUGGAGGUGAAAAAUCUCCCCGCGGGUUCGAAUCCCGCACCCUCCGCCA
rnacentral:tRNA from 1 species